rnacentral:misc_RNA from 1 species
UACGGAGGGUGCAAGCGUUAAUCGGAAUUACUGGGCGUAAAGCGCGCGUAGGCGGUUUUGUAAGCUGGGUGUGAAAGCCCCGGGCUCAACCUGGGAAUUGCAUUCAGAACUGCAAGGCUAGAGUACGGUAGAGGGUGGUAGAAUUUCCUGUGUAGCGGUGAAAUGCGUAGAUAUAGGAAGGAAUACCAGUGGCGAAGGCGGCCACCUGGACUGAUACUGACGCUGAGGUGCGAAAGCGUGGGGAGCAAACAGG